AAUUGAUCAUGGCUCAGAUUGCACGCUGGCUAGCAGGCCUAACACAUGCAAGUCGAGCGGAUGACGGGAGCUUGCUCCUUGAUUCAGCGGCGGACGGGUGAGUAAUGCCUAGGAAUCUGCCUGGUAGUGGGGGACAACGUUUCGAAAGGAACGCUAAUACCGCAUACGUCCUACGGGAGAAAGCAGGGGACCUUCGGGCCUUGCGCUAUCAGAUGAGCCUAGGUCGGAUUAGCUAGUUGGUGAGGUAAUGGCUCACCAAGGCGACGAUCCGUAACUGGUCUGAGAGGAUGAUCAGUCACACUGGAACUGAGACACGGUCCAGACUCCUACGGGAGGCAGCAGUGGGGAAUAUUGGACAAUGGGCGAAAGCCUGAUCCAGCCAUGCCGCGUGUGUGAAGAAGGUCUUCGGAUUGUAGAGCACUUUAAGUUGGGAGGAAGGGCAGUAAGUUAAUACCUUGCUGUUUUGACG
rnacentral:rRNA from 1 species